CAGCAAUAUCACAUUGAAACAUUGGUUCUCAUAUGAUCACCAAAGUUAAGCAAUGUUGAGCUUGGUCAGUAUCUAGAUGGGUGACCUGCUUGUGAACAUCAGGUGAUGUA